AGUGAACGCUGGCGGCAGGCCUAACACAUGCAAGUCGAGCGGCAGCGCGGGGGCAACCCUGGCGGCGAGCGGCGGACGGGUGAGGAAUUCGUCGGAAUCUGCCUUUUUGUGGGGGAUAACGUAGGGAAACUUACGCUAAUACCGCAUACGUCCUACGGGAGAAAGUGGGGGACCGCAAGGCCUCACGCAGAAAGAUGAGCCGACGACCGAUUAGCUAGUUGGUGGGGUAAAGGCCCACCAAGGCGAUGAUCGGUAGCUGGUCUGAGAGGAUGAUCAGCCACACUGGGACUGAGACACGGCCCAGACUCCUACGGGAGGCAGCAGUGGGGAAUAUUGGACAAUGGGCGCAAGCCUGAUCCAGCCAUGCCGCGUGUGUGAAGAAGGCCUUCGGGUUGUAAAGCACUUUUGUCCGGAAAGAAAUCCCUGGAGCUAAUACCUUCGGGGGAUGACGGUACCGGAAGAAUAAGCACCGGCUAACUUCGUG
rnacentral:rRNA from 1 species